AAGACUAUAUUUGCAAGGAUCAUUUCUAGAAUGAAACACGUUUUGAAGGGAUUGGUCUCGGUAUCCACCAGGAGGAGUGGCAGUGUUUUCUUCUGAGCACCGAGCUGACAAUGAGUGUUGUUAUCGGGAACCUACUCGCUGCAAGGAAUGACCACUUCAAUCUUCAGUCGGGGGUUGCUGAAGGAAGGGGACACAUUUUGAGUGUG